CAGGAUUUUAUUGGAAAUGAAAGAGGCAGAAGAAAACGCAAACAUUCAUGUGCUUCAUCUUUAAGUCCUCCGUCCAAACUAAGAUGUCCUUCAGGGUAUAAUCUUUUUGUUGGAGAAUUUUUCAAGUCAGAAGCAGGAAGAUCUAUAGGUGACCUGACUCAAAGAAAUGUAGAAGGAGCAAAAAGAUGGAAGGAAUUAACUUCCGACCAACAACUGUUCUAUCAUAAAAAAGCAAAAGAAUUGCCUCUGGGAUCAUCCCUCAACAAGUGGAAGGAAUCAAGACGAAUUUUGGAAAAUUUAAAAUCUAGUGCAAGCAAAUAGUUUUUUGUACCUCUGCCUCAUUUUAUUAUAUUUUUAGUGUGUUUGGGCUGAAAAAUUUGGUGUUCACCUUUGCUACAUUCUGGUACAUAAAGAUGAUCCAUAUGUAGGAGGCACUGCUACUGGACAAGAAUGGCUGAAUUGCAAUCCUUAUUUACCUCUUUCAUUUGCUUGCUCAGUGGAUAAGUCAAUCACGCCUAUGCCUGCUGCACCUAGAAACAAGCAAUGUCUAGUUAAAGAAGUUGAAACAUUAUUGAAUAAUAGAUAUUCUCUUUCAGUUAAUGACCCACUGAAUCGUGUGCCAUAUGAAUCUUUAACAGAAAAAAAUGUCCUUCUCUUUGGAAAUCAUUUUUCAUUAAAAAAUCCUGCCAUAAUGACUACAGAAGAAUUAAAUCACAUCAAGGCAAACAUUUCAUACCUUC